rnacentral:rRNA from 1 species
UGGGGAAUUUUGCACAAUGGGGGAAACCCUGAUGCAGCGACGCCGCGUGAUUUAGAAGGCCUUCGGGUUGUAAAAAUCUUUUGUAUGGGAAGAAAAUGACAGUACCAUACGAAUAAGGACCGGCUAAUUACGUGCCAGCAGCCGCGGUAAUACGUAAGGUCCGAGCGUUGUCCGGAAUCAUUGGGCGUAAAGGGUACGUAGGCGGAUAAGCAAGUUAGAAGUGCAAUCCUAUAGCUCAACUAUAGUAAGCUUUUAAAACUGCUCAUCUUGAGGUAUGGAAGGGAAAGUGGAAUUCCUAGUGUAGCGGUGAAAUGCGCAGAUAUUAGGAGGAAUACCGGUGGCGAAGGCGACUUUCUGGCCAUAUACUGACACUGAGAUACGAAAGCGUGGGUAGCAAACAGG